rnacentral:tRNA from 1 species
GAGGGUAUAGCUCAGUGGUAGAGAGUGUGUGUUCAGCAUGCACAAGCUCCUGGGUUCAAUUCCCAAUACCUCCA